rnacentral:lncRNA from 1 species
CAGGAAACUGUCAAAUGGGGCAUUUGGAAAUGACAGACAUCGAAUCAACAGGUUUGCUGCUGUUUUAGGAUUUGCCAAUUGUUAACAUAGUGGCGCAUCUGCUGUUUCAUAAAGGUCAUGCUGUCACAUAAUUCUUGUCUGCAGAGCUUCAUUCACUACAAGAGACACUGAACUUGAUGACGACUGGAUGGGGCUGAAAUCAAUGAUUGAUGUUUUCUAAGCAAACCAUCAGUUUUGCACAUCCAUUAUUACCAUCAACACAUCCAUGCCCAUCCCCAACUCAGAGGUUCAACGCCAAAUAUUGAAAAUCCUGUGACAAGCAACUGGUGAUGAGGAAGCCAUUGAAGACUGAGUUUUUAAAAAUAAAUGAAUAUGUGGCAAUUUUAUAAUCAUGAUGAAUUAUAAAAUAGAGAAGUGAGAUGUUG